CGUUUAAAUUAGAACACUCAGAGUCUGAACUAUAUGCAGAUGACACAACUUUGCAUAUAUCGUCCAAAUAUAUUUCAAACUUAAACUCUUAUUUAAAUAAAGACUUUGAAAACGUAAUUGAAUGGUGUGCUAUAAACAAUAUGAUAAUAAAUAACAAGAAGUCCAAAUGUAUGCUUAUGGGAUCUGAGAGAAAAUUUGAGAAUUGUAACGAUGUCUUGUGUGUAUUAUCGCAAAAUCAAACUGCAUUUGACAAUGUGGAAGUAGAAAAACUUCUUGGUAUCCAUAUUGAUAAAAAAUCUAUCAUGGUCAAUUCACAUAGAUAAAGUAUGUAAAAUAUUUUCAAGCAGAUUAUACCUGAUAAAAAGAUUAAAACGAUAUACUUACCUCGCAAAUGUCUUAUCCUUUUUUUUAUAAUAGUUCUAUAUUACCAAAAAAAUUAUUAUUGUUGCACCAUAUGGGGUUUUACCACAAAUUGCAACAUUGAGCGGAUUCAUAAACUACAAAAGCGCACAGCAAGAUUAAUUUUGAAUAAGCCUUUUGAUUAUCCCGAGGGUAUCACCAGCCCAGUAGUCAACACUUCGGUGUUGACAUGAAUAUCAAUAAUGUGGUCAUUUUUAUAAAUUUCCUGUUUACAAAACUUUGAAUUAUUCGUAAAUCUAAGGAUUUUCUUAUCACAGGCAUAGAUUACCUUAGCCGUAUUUGGCACAACUUUUUGGAAUUUUGGAUCCUCAAUGCUCUUCAACUUUGUACUUGUUUGGCUUUAUGAAUAUAUUGAUAUGAGCGUCACUGAUGAGUCUUAUAUAGACAAAACGCGCGUCUGGCGUAAUAAAUUAUAAUCCUGGUACUUUUGAUAACUAUUAAAUGUAUAAAUGGACUCGCGCCAGAUUAUCUUACAAGUUAAUUUACUGCAUGCAGUGAUCUAUAUAGUUAUUCUCUUAGGUCAACAACAUCUGGACAUCUUCAUAUACCAAGGCCAA
rnacentral:lncRNA from 1 species